AUGAAAGAACCGACUUGGUUAACCUCUUCUUUCUCCAGAGCGUAUUGAAACGUAGACAGAAUGCUUUUAGAUGGACAUUGCAUCAGGGCCAAUACGUACGUCAUUCUCACAAGAUGCACGACGGAAGGCCUCGAUUGCAGCAAUUCGUACUUCAAUUGGGUUGUCUUUUCGGGAGAUGCAGCUGUUGAGUGUUGCAGUAGCUGAGCUAAUGUAACCAGAAUUCCCAAGAGCGCGAAGCGUCAAGAUGAUCUGAAAAAUAAUAAACGAAAGCAGAUGAAAAAUGAAAAGAUGAAAAUGCAAUAUUGAUAUUAAUCAAGGAUUACUUCUCAAAAUGGUUCAAAAUCAUACUAACAUUGUCUUUGUUGUUUUCGUCAACGUAGCAGCCGUAUCCAAUUUUAUCCUCCAGAGCAGAAAUGACAUUAGCGAUGUCCAAAUCGUUUUCACAAGCAGCGUUCUUGCAAUAGGUGUUGACUAAGGAGCUCACAGCCAGCAAUGCCUUACCAUUCUUCUUCAGAAGAGGCUGUGAUGGAGACAAGUGUUAGAAUAUUUCUUUCAUAUGAAAUAAAGAUAAUGUAUUUUCACAUGUACAAAUUCUUACCAAGACUUCUCUGAUCAUAUCCUUCGAAGGACUUUGGAUAAAGGCCAAGGUCGUCAACCACAUGUCGGCCUCCAUUCCUGUCACCUCAUUGUCGUUGAUCAUUUUGGUAAGCAUGACAACAGAGGCUGAUGUUCCAACCAUGGGAACUGCAUCCAUGAAAAACUUUCUGGAAUAGUUAUUGAAACAUUUAAUUAUAUCAAUAUAAUACAAGUAACGUAAUGUUUUAUAAUAAGACAGUUGCUUUGAGAGAGAUUUACAUGUUACCUGACUUUCUGGUUGUUGUCACUGCAAAGUGUACCACUCUGUAUGUUUGAAUAAACGUCAUUCAGAGUUUGAGAGUCGGCUGCUCGCAUGAUAUACACAAGAUCGGAGAAAAGACGAGGUGUCUCAGGGCGAAUAUCCUCCUUUGUUUGGAUGCAAAUAUUGACCAAUUGUCUUUC